rnacentral:rRNA from 1 species
AGCCAGACUCCUACGGGAGGCAGCAGUGGGGAAUAUUGCACAAUGGGGGAAACCCUGAUGCAGCGACGCCGCGUGAGCGAUGAAGUAUUUCGGUAUGUAAAGCUCUAUCAGCAGGGAAGAAGAUGACGGUACCUGACUAAGAAGCCCCGGCUAACUACGUGCCAGCAGCCGCGGUAAUACGUAGGGGGCAAGCGUUAUCCGGAUUUACUGGGUGUAAAGGGAGCGUAGACGGCGAUGCAAGCCAGAUGUGAAAGCCCGGGGCUCAACCCCGGGACUGCAUUUGGAACUGUGUGGCUGGAGUGUCGGAGAGGCAGGCGGAAUUCCUAGUGUAGCGGUGAAAUGCGUAGAUAUUAGGAGGAACACCAGUGGCGAAGGCGGCCUGCUGGACGAUGACUGACGUUGAGGCUCGAAAGCGUGGGGAGCAAACAGGAUUAGAUACCCUAGUAGU